ACUGGACUACGCCAGUAUAAAUAGGCAUUAAGCGUAGUGCGUUCCAGUCUUCACAGACUGGAGGUUGUU
rnacentral:ribozyme from 2 species